rnacentral:rRNA from 1 species
UACGUAGGGUGCGAGCGUUGUCCGGAAUUAUUGGGCGUAAAGAGCUUGUAGGCGGUUUGUCGCGUCUGCCGUGAAAAUUCGAGGCUCAACCUCGAACUUGCGGUGGGUACGGGCAGACUAGAGUGUGGUAGGGGAGACUGGAAUUCCUGGUGUAGGCGGUGAAAUGCGCAGAUAUCAGGAGGAACACCGAUGGCGAAGGCAGGUCUCUGGGCCACUACUGACGCUGAGAAGCGAAAGCAUGGGGAGCGAACAGG